AGCAGCCGCGGUAAUUCCAGCUCCAAUAGCGUAUAUUAAAGUUGUUGCAGUUAAAAAGCUCGUAGUUGAAUUUCGGGGUUAGUAGGUUGGUCAUGCCUCUGGUAUGUACUAAUCUCACUGAUUCCUCCCUCUCGACGAACUGUAAUGUCAUUAAUUUGGUGUUGCAGGAAAUCAGGACUGUUACUUUGAAAAAAUUAGAGUGUUUAAAGCAGGCUUAGGCUUGAAUACAUUAGCAUGGAAUAAUGAAAUAGGACGUUUGAACCUAUUUUGUUGGUUUCUAGGAUCGACGUAAUGAUUAAUAGGGAUAGUUGGGGGCAUUAGUAUUCAAUUGUCAGAGGUGAAAUUCUUGGAUUUAUUGAAGACUAACUACUGCGAAAGCAUUUGCCAAG
rnacentral:rRNA from 1 species